rnacentral:rRNA from 12 species
UGUUUUCAUUUUGGACACAUAGAGUAGCUGGUUAAUAGCGUGGAAGCUAAGCGGGGCUGUGCCUGGUUAGUACUUGGAUGGGAGACCAACUUGAAAGACCAGGGACAC